UACAGAGGGGGCAAGCGUUGUUCGGAAUUACUGGGCGUAAAGGGCGCGUAGGCGGCCAACUAAGUCAGACGUGAAAUCCCCAGGCUCAACCUGGGAACUGCGUCUGAUACUGGAUGGCUCGAGUUCGGGAGAGGGAAGUGGAAUUCCAGGUGUAGCGGUGAAAUGCGUAGAUAUCUGGAGGAACACCGGUGGCGAAGGCGGUUUCCUGGACCGACACUGACGCUGAGGCGCGAAAGCCAGGGGAGCAAACGGG
rnacentral:rRNA from 1 species